rnacentral:rRNA from 1 species
AACGUAGGUGACAAGCGUUUAUCCGGGAUUUACCUGGGCGUAAAGCGCGUUCAGGCGGUUUGGCAAGUCGGGCAUGAAAUCUCCUGGCUCAACCAGGAGGGGCUGUCCGAUACUUCCCAGACUUGAGGGCAGUAGAGGGUGGUGGAAUUCCGGGGUGUAGUGGUGAAAUGCGUAGAUAUCCGGAGGAACACCUGUGGCGAAAAGCGGCCACCUGGACUGCACCUGACGCUGAAAACGCGAAAAGCUAGGGGGACGAACGGGAGUU